GUGGUUGUUGCUGGCCCUCUCGGGGGCAUGUGCACACCCACCAUCCUCAUCUCUCCACCUGUGCACCUCUUGUAGACCUGGAUUGACUUUCCGAGGCAACUCGGUCGGGAAGAUUGCUGCGCUCUGUGAGCCAGCUUUCUUUGCAUGUCCAGGCCUAUGUUUUUCAUAUACCCCUAUAGAAUGUAACAGAAUGUAUCAUUGGGCCUUGUGCCUAUAAACCUUAUACAACUUUCAGCAACGGAUCUCUUGGCUCUCGCAUCGAUGAAGAACGCAGCGAAAUGCGAUAAGUAAUGUGAAUUGCAGAAUUCAGUGAAUCAUCGAAUCUUUGAACGCACCUUGCGCUCCUUGGUAUUCCGAGGAGCAUGCCUGUUUGAGUGUCAUUAAAUUCUCAACCUUAUUAACUUUUGUUGAUAAUGGAUUGGAUUGUGGGGGUUUCUUUUGCUGGCUUCUUCACAGAGAUCAGCUCCCCUUAAAUGCAUUAGCUGGUGCCCCGCGUGGACCAUCUAUUGGUGUGAUAAUUAUCUACGCCGUGGAUGUCUGCAAUCAUAUGGGUUUCGCACUGCUUCUAACCGUCUGUUCAUUCGGACAAUACAUGACAAUUUGACCUCAAAUCAGGUAGGACUACCCGCUGAACUUAAGCAUAUCAAUAAGCGGAGGAAAAGAAACUAACAAGGAUUCCCCUARUAACUGCGAGUGAAGCGGGAAAAGCUCAAAUUUAAAAUCUGGCGGUCUCCGG
rnacentral:rRNA from 1 species